rnacentral:misc_RNA from 1 species
AAAGUCGUAACAAGGUAACCGUAGGUGAACCUGCGGUUGGAUCAUUAAAAAUUGUUUUGGUCUUGUGCCAAACUAACAUUUGUGUGCACCAUUGUCUGUCUUUGGUAGUUCGAGUUGCUCUUGGGGUUCAACGCCGCAAGAUGCCUACCCCCCAGCAGGAUUUAUUCUGCCGGGAUCCGGGUUGGACUACCGACCAUUUUGAAAAACGAUUUGUUUGAUUUUUUAUGUCUGAACGAAGAGUUAGUCUUUAUUGAUUAAUGAUUUGAAUACAACUUUUGACAACGGAUCUCUUGGCUCUC